CUUUUCUUUUUUGAAUUUUGUUUGAUUCUGUUUUAUAUGGAUUGGACUAUGCAAAUGAUGUCAGAUUAGUUUUUCAUUUUUGUAAUUCUUGUGAGAUUUUAUUGUUUGAUUUUGUUGUAUCAGUUGUCAAAUUGAGCACUUGAAUGAGUUUGCUACAGAUUUUGGUCCAUGGUGGGGUCCACCAGAUAAAUGCUCUGGAUAACUGGUUGCUGGGCUCACCUGUACAAAAUGCCAUCUCAUCUGUUUAACUGACUAAGGUUUGCCGUGAUGGCGAUUUAUGAAUUUAUUGUUGUUAAUGAUGGAGUGGGAGUGAUUUCAAGUACUUUCGCUUUUACUAAUCGAAUUUUGUUAUGAUGAACUGAGUAGCAUUUAUGUUAUUAUUUUAUUUGAUGAUUGGAUUAUUGGUUUGUGUUGUUGUAUGAUUGUGUUCUAGGGUUGAAUGAAUUGCUCUGACAAUGUGGAAAUCAAAUGAAAAUUUUCCUGAUGCAUUGGGUAUUGAAAUUGGAUUAUUCAUGUGCUAUGUUCUUUGCUUGCAAAAUCCUAUUUUAGUUGUUGGUUUUGAGUUUUUUACCAUAAUGGUUUAAUGUAUGAAUCACAUUGUCGGGUCAUAGGUUUCGUUCCAACUUUGUCCCCUGUCACUGUGCAGUGUUUUUUUUUUUUUUUUGUUUUUUUUGUUUUGUUUUGUUUUUUAAUUUCACAAUUAAGCAACACCAGUUAUGGUAUGAUUUAGAUCUUGCAAACAUAUAUUUAUAAAAGAGAGAUGAACAUUUAAUAACCUUCAAUAGUGGAUUGUAUACAAGACACAGACUUCUUUCUACUUAGGAAGACUAUGAUGAAUAUAUAAAGUUUGCAAUUUUAGAUCAGGUGAGUUUCACCACUCAAUAUAAGGUUAAUGGUUAUGGAUGUUUACAUGAAGAGAUGGAAGAGAGGUUGUGAAAUCAAUAGGUGUCCAAAAAUGAUGUGGUGGAAUUUGGAAGGAGAGAAAACAAUGUUAUUUAGUAAUAAACCGAUGGAAGAGGGAUGUUGAGGAAGAAGCUAAUGUUAUGUGGAAUGAGAUGGCAGAGUGCAUUGGGAAAGUGGCCAAAGAAGUUUUAGGAGUAUCUUGAGGAAAAACCACUGAUAUAAGGAAACUUGGUGGUGGAAUUAUGAGGUCCAUAAAGCUAUUUAGUGAGAGGUGAUCAUGUUUCUUGGCAUAGUAAGUGACUAGAAGAUUUAUAAGUAUAUAGAAACAACAAAAGAAAACUAAGAAAGUAGUGAGGCUCAAUGUAAGGUAUAUCAUAUAUGUGAUCUAUACAGUGGAUUUGGGAUGAGAAGGUGAGAAGGAUGAUUUCAAACUUGCAAACAUGAGAGAUAGGAAGAUAAGGAACCUUGAUCAUGCCGGAUGUAUUAAGAGUGACGAUAAGAUCAAGGAAAGGUGGAGAAACUAUCUUUAGAGCUUGUUAAAUGACGUUAACUGAGAAGUGAGAACUUAGGAAUAGGAGGAAUCAUAAGCUCAAAUGAGGCUAAAGGCUAUAUAGAUGCUUUUUGAAAGCUUCUUUCACUUCAGAUAUCUUAAUCAUACAAAAGUAUUAUCUUUCGAAAAUACUUCUGUAGGAUUAAGAUAUCUGAAGUGAAAGAAACUUUGAGAAAGAUGAGGAUAUGAAAGGCUGAAGGAUCAUGUGUUAUACCAAUAGAGGUUUGGAAGUGCACGGGAGGAAUUGGUAUAUUUUCGUUGACAAAGUUAUUGAACAAGAUAGUUUGAAAAAGAUGGUAGAUGAAUGGAGGAAAAAGUUACAUGGUGCCGAUUUAUAAGGAGAUGCACAGAGUUGCACUACUAUUGUGGUAUUAAACUUAUGAGUCAUACUAUGAAACUUUGAGAGAGAGUGACUAUGCAAAGAUUAAGGCAUGCGACAAAUGUAUUAGAGUUAGUUUGGAUUUAGGAUGGGAAGGUCAACCAUUGAGGCUAUUUCCUACUUGAUUGAUGGAGAAAUAUAGGUAGAGGAAUGUUUUCCAGUCUUUAUUGUCUUGGAGAAAGCAUCUGAUAGGGUCCCUAGAGAGAUGAUUUGGUGGGUGUUGGGAAAGAAAGGAGUCUCAAUUCUCAAGAGGAUAUAUUGCAUGACUAAGGCUACAUAUGAGGAAGUGAUAACAAAUAUAAGAUCACUAGCGCAUAGACGCGAGUUUUCUAUUAUUUUAAGCUUACACCAAGGGUCAACAUUAAACCCAUAUCCUUUUGCAUCACUUUCAGGAAGAGGUUCUAUGGUGUAUACUGUUUGCAGAUGACAUCGUUUUGAUUGACGAGAUGAGGGAGGGUGUAAAUGCAAAGUUAGAACUAUGGAUGAAUGCUUUAGAAUCUAGAGAUUUUAAAAUUUGUUAAGAUUACAAACAUAGUAUAUGGGUUGCAAUUUAGUAACAAUAGGAGUGGAAACAAGGAAUUAGUUAAGAUUCUGACCAAAAUGUACCCCAAGAUGGCCAUUUUCAAUAUCUUGGGUUGGUAAUUCAUGAGUACGGAGAGAUUGAGAAGGUUGCUGUUCAUUGAAUUAGAGCUAGGUGGAUGAAUUGGAGACGUGCCUCUAGAGUUAUAUGUGAUCCCCGCGUACCAAUCAAACUGAAGUGGCUAUAAGACCAACCAUGUUUAUGGGAUAGAAUGUUGGAUAGUCAAGGAACAACAUGUUCAUAGGUUUAGUGUGAUUGAAAUGAGCACAUUGAGAUGGAUGAGUGGCAAGACAAGGAUAGAAUUAAAAAUGAUUGCAUUUUAGGGAACUUUGGAGUAGCACCAAUAGGUAACAAGAUGAGGGAAAGUAGAUUUGGAUGGCGAGAGCAAUGAUUGCUCAGGGUAGGAGUGAGUUGGUUCAAGUUGAAGGUUCGAAAAGGGCAAGGGAAAGCCCAAAAGGACGUGGGUGGAGGUUGUAAGAAAAAUCUGAUGACCAAUAGUUUAAUUGAGGAGAUGGCCCUCGAUAGAGUGGAAUGGUAGGACAUGAUUCAUGUAGCUGACCCCAUUUAGUUGGGAUAGGGCUUUGAUGAAGAAGAAGAAGAUGAAUUAGGCGGCAUGUGGAGGCUCAAUUUCUAACAUAACAAAAUGACUAAUGAAAUGGACGAUGAGGUGAGUCUAUAUUUGUAAAAAAAGAAAUGGAAAGAACCAAGUAUAUGGUGGGUUUCUUCUUUCUUGAUCUGUUUCAUGGAUUUUGCUCCAGUGGGUUAGAGAAAAAAAUGAUUCCUGAAACUGCAACAUCUACUAUUACAACUUCAUUGCGUGUGUAAUGAAUGCCAAAAUAUUGAUAUUUAAAGAAAUGUCCAACAAUACACAUUCAAUGCCCAAGUUUGGCCCACUUGAUAGGCAGUUGGCCUUUUUUUUUUUUGGGCCAAGUCAGAUACACAAUCAGGGUGGCUUGAUGAAUGGACUGAAUUUCUCAUGUGUAUGAUGUUGGCACACAUUCCAGUGAGUAUGACCGUACUCGCGCUUGGAUGAGUUGCAUCAUGUUUCUUGUGUUCUUUUGGCAUGGAUGGUCCACAUAAAUGUAGUUGAAAAUUGAAUUGGCGAGUUAAAUGUAUUUUUUCUUUUUCUAUUUGUACCUUUUGGCAUGAAAGAGCUACAGCAGAAAACCUGCAGUUAAUAAAACUUCAAUUCUAGUAGUUGUUUGUCUACUAUUAAAUUACUCAUGUUGGAUAUGUGGAAGAAUCGCACAUCACAUUUGAAUAUAAAAACAGCUUACAAUAAAGUUGACGUUUCAGAUUAUGGAAGUACUGAGUAUUGGUGUAUUGUACCACUUAUGAAUAAUAUGAAAAUCCUAUGACCCCAUAUGACUUCUCUACAGGGUUUCUUGGGAAUGUGGAAAACCCUAGAAAUGAAAUCAGUUUCAGUGAAAAUCCACUUCUUCCUUUGAGGAAGAAAGUAACCUUGUAAACCAAUGUCCAUUUUCGAGCUUUUCCUAAAAAAUCGUGGGCAUUCAUUUCUCCCAAAAAUGAUGUUAGGUUGACUUCCAAGGUAGAGAAGACACAUGACAUGAGAGAACUGACGUGAAAUCCAUGUAAAAUUGGACUUCAAAACAAAACAUUAGAUAGAAAAUUGGAAUCCAUGGUUUUUCAUUUCUUGAGGAUUCCAGGUGAAUCCAUGGUUUUCCAUUUCUUGAGGAUUCCAGGUUACAUUUCACUAUCCACAGUUUUAUUUCCUUCCAUCCAAACACCCUCUAAGUUAAUUUCUUGUGUAAUGUUUCUUAUCCUCAAGCUGUUAGUCUGUUAGUGUUCCUUUAGAAGAGAGUGUUGGGUUUGGUCCAGUUGGACAGUUAUGCCAUUGAUUGCAUCAGCUACACAGUCAAUAAUUUGGUAGAUUAUGACAAUGUGCACAAGAGCAACUUGUUGGAAGUCAAUGUCAAUUCUAUCCACUUGCUUCUGUGACGAUGGCUGUAGUUGUGUUGUACGUUUGUUUCUUUUACUAAUACAUCAUUUUCAUGAUUAAAACAUUAAAGUCUUGCUUAAAUCUGGCCUUGCUAGCCUUCAUGAUGUAUUAAUACUUAAUUGUUUU